UAUGGCUUUCGACGGGGAUUUGUGGAGCUUUGGAAGCGAGCUGAGGGACCUGGUCCCGCAUCAAAAAACUAGGAACAAUUAUAAACGGAAACGAUAAUUUAGCGUUAGCAGCUUAGCAUAGCUGCUCGUCCUACCCGGGAGGCCCACGGCUUGGGAUUAGGGCGUCAUGAAGUGGGGAACCGAGCCUAAGAAAGCUUUGACUUAGGAACGGAAUUCAUGAAGCUACUGAAAUCUGAAUCCUGUCAGUAGGAGUCAGAUAGAGGGAAUGUCAAAUUACUGACUGCGCUCGGAGAUGCCAAAGUGGCACUGUUUUCGGACAGGGGUUCGAUUCA
rfam:Clostridium grantii DSM 8605 genome assembly, contig: EJ34DRAFT_scaffold00002.2